rnacentral:rRNA from 1 species
CCAGACUCCUACGGGAGGCAGCAGUGAGGAAUAUUGGUCAAUGGGCUAAGGCCUGAACCAGCCAAGUCGCGUGAGGGAAGACGGUCCUAUGGAUUGUAAACCUCUUUUGUCGGGGAGCAGCGAGGCCACGUGUGGCCGAAGUGAGAGUACCCGAAGAAAAAGCAUCGGCUAACUCCGUGCCAGCAGCCGCGGUAAUACGGAGGAUGCGAGCGUUAUCCGGAUUUAUUGGGUUUAAAGGGUGCGUAGGCGGAACAUUAAGUCAGCGGUAAAAUCGAGGGGCUCAACCCCUUUAAGCCGUUGAAACUGGUGAUCUUGAGUGGGCGAGAAGUAUGCGGAAUGCGUGGUGUAGCGGUGAAAUGCAUAGAUAUCACGCAGAACUCCGAUUGCGAAGGCAGCUUACUAAACUAUAACUGACACUGAAGCACGAAAGCGUGGGGAUCAAACAGGAUUAGAUACCCGCGUAUCA